rnacentral:sRNA from 1 species
CACACACGGAAGCCGGGUCUGGCCAAGCGUUCUUCGCUUUCCCAAACCCACCGGUGGCAGCUCUCGUGAGCUGCUUCGUUCCGUGGAGGCUCAACCGGUAUAAGGACGAUUC